GCAUGGCUGUCGUCAGCUCGUGUCGUGAGAUGUUGGGUUAAGUCCCGCAACGAGCGCAACCCUUUCCUUAUUUGCCAGCGGGUUAAGCCGGGAACUUUAAGGAUACUGCCAGUGACAAACUGGAGGAAGGCGGGGACGACGUCAAGUCAUCAUGGCCCUUACGACCAGGGCUACACACGUGCUACAAUGGUCGGUACAAAGGGUUGCUACCUAGCGAUAGGAUGCUAAUCUCAAAAAGCCGAUCGUAGUCCGGAUUGGAGUCUGCAACUCGACUCCAUGAAGUCGGAAUUGCUAGUAACCGCAGGUCAGCUAUACUGCGGUGAAUACGUUCCCGGGGAUU
rnacentral:rRNA from 1 species